CUUCUUGCUUCUCCAAUGACAAUUGAUUUUGAGGAGCUUAUUGAAGAGUUUGAGAAACUUGAAUUAGAAAUUGCACCAACCGGAGAAGAUGAUGAUGAGUUUGGUGUGGAUUCAGAUUAAGCAUGGUGGCUGUUUGGUUUUUAUUUGUUUUAAAGUGACUGUUUCGGUUUAAAGUGUGUUUAUUUUUGUUGUUUU